rnacentral:rRNA from 1 species
UACGAAGGGUGCAAGCGUUACUCGGAAUUACUGGGCGUAAAGCGUGCGUAGGUGGUUUGUUAAGUCUGCUGUGAAAGCCCGGGCUCAACCUGGGAAUGGCAGUGGAUACUGGCAAGCUAGAGUGCGGUAGAGGGGUGUGGAAUUCCCGGUGUAGCGGUGAAAUGCGUAGAGAUCGGGAGGAACACCAGUGGCGAAGGCGGCACCCUGGACCAGCACUGACACUGAGGCACGAAAGCGUGGGGAGCAAACAGG